ACUAUGUGUUGUUGGGUAGGGGAGCGUUCUGUAAGCCUGUGAAGGUGUGUCGUGAGGCAUGCUGGAGGUAUCAGAAGUGCGAAUGCUGACAUAAGUAACGAUAAAGCGGGUGAAAAGCCCGCUCGCCGGAAGACCAAGGGUUCCUGUCCAACGUUAAUCGGGGCAGGGUGAGUCGACCCCUAAGGCGAGGCCGAAAGGCGUAGUCGAUGGGAAACGGGUUAAUAUUCCCGUACUUGGUGUUACUGCGAAGGGGGGACGGAGAAGGCUAUGUUGGCCGGGCGACGGUUGUCCCGGUUUAAGCGUGUAGGUGUGUGUUCCAGGUAAAUCCGGUUCACUUUAACACUGAGGCGUGACGACGAGGCACUACGGUGCUGAAGCAACAAAUGCCCUGCUUCCAGGAAAAGCCUCUAAGCAUCAGGUAACAUCAAAUCGUACCCCAAACCGACACAGGUGGUCAGGUAGAGAAUACCAAGGCGCUUGAGAGAACUCGGGUGAAGGAACUAGGCAAAAUGGUGCCGUAACUUCGGGAGAAGGCACGCUGACACGUAGGUGAAGUGAUUUACUCAUGGAGCUGAAGUCAGUCGAAGAUACCAGCUGGCUGCAACUGUUUAUUAAAAACACAGCACUGUGCAAACACGAAAGUGGACGUAUACGGUGUGACGCCUGCCCGGUGCCGGAAGGUUAAUUGAUGGGGUCAGCGCAAGCGAAGCUCCUGAUCGAAGCCCCGGUAAACGGCGGCCGUAACUAUAACGGUCCUAAGGUAGCGAAAUUCCUUGUCGGGUAAGUUCCGACCUGCACGAAUGGCGUAAUGAUGGCCAGGCUGUCUCCACCCGAGACUCAGUGAAAUUGAACUCGCUGUGAAGAUGCAGUGUACCCGCGGCAAGACGGAAAGACCCCGUGAACCUUUACUAUAGCUUGACACUGAACAUUGAGCCUUGAUGUGUAGGAUAGGUGGGAGGCUUUGAAGUGUGGACGCCAGUCUGCAUGGAGCCGACCUUGAAAUACCACCCUUUAAUGUUUGAUGUUCUAACGUGGACCCGUGAUCCGGGUUGCGGACAGUGUCUGGUGGGUAGUUUGACUGGGGCGGUCUCCUCCUAAAGAGUAACGGAGGAGCACGAAGGUUGGCUAAUCCUGGUCGGACAUCAGGAGGUUAGUGCAAUGGCAUAAGCCAGCUUGACUGCGAGCGUGACGGCGCGAGCAGGUGCGAAAGCAGGUCAUAGUGAUCCGGUGGUUCUGAAUGGAAGGGCCAUCGCUCAACGGAUAAAAGGUACUCCGGGGAUAACAGGCUGAUACCGCCCAAGAGUUCAUAUCGACGGCGGUGUUUGGCACCUCGAUGUCGGCUCAUCACAUCCUGGGGCUGAAGUAGGUCCCAAGGGUAUGGCUGUUCGCCAUUUAAAGUGGUACGCGAGCUGGGUUUAGAACGUCGUGAGACAGUUCGGUCCCUAUCUGCCGUGGGCGCUGGAGAACUGAGGGGGGCUGCUCCUAGUACGAGAGGACCGGAGUGGACGCAUCACUGGUGUUCGGGUUGUCAUGCCAAUGGCACUGCCCGGUAGCUAAAUGCGGAAGAGAUAAGUGCUGAAAGCAUCUAAGCACGAAACUUGCCCCGAGAUGAGUUCUCCCUGAGACUUAAAGUCUCCUGAAGGAACGUUGAAGACGACGACGUUGAUAGGCCGGGUGUGUAAGCGCAGCGAUGCGUUGAGCUAACCGGUACUAAUGAACCGUGAGGCUUAACCUUACA
rnacentral:rRNA from 1 species